CAGCAGCCGCGGGAAUACAGAGGGUGCGAGCGUUAAUCGGAUUUACUGGGCGUAAAGCGUGCGUAGGCGGCUUCUUAAGUCGGAUGUGAAAUCCUUGAGCUUAACUUAGGAAUUGCAUUCGAUACUGGGAAGCUAGAGUAUGGGAGAGGAAGGUAGAAUUCCAGGUGUAGCGGUGAAAUGCGUAGAGAUCUGGAGGAAUACCGAUGGCGAAGGCAGCCAUCUGGCCUAAUACUGACGCUGAGGUACGAAAGCAUGGGGAGCAAACAGGAUUAGAUACCCCAGUAGUCCCUGUCUCUUAUAC
rnacentral:rRNA from 1 species